CAAAGCCUGAGUCUUGUGUUCUGUCUCUUGCAGCCAAGAAGCAAGACUAAGAGUUGGAGAUGCUUAUAUUCCAGGUUCCCGUCCAUCGCUGAGGGAGGCAGGGCAGGGGCUCAAGCAGGAACUGAAGCAGUGACCACAGAGGAACACUGCUCCCUUCCUCACACAGCCCAGGCCCAGCUGCCUGGGGGAUGGCACUGCCCCACAGUGGUCUGGGCCUUCCCAGAUUUUCACAGUCAAGAAAAUGGCAGAGGCCAAUCUGAUGGAGGCUGGUCUUCGACAGAGGUUUUCUCUUCCCAGUGGUGUCAAGCUGGCAACCAAGUUUUACUGGCUUUAGAAUCACCAUGGAAACCCACCUUUGGGUGUGUCUCUGAGGAUGUGUCUAAAAAGGUUUAAAGGCGUGAGGGAGACCCUCCCUGAAGGUGAUCAGGGUAACCCCAGGACUGAAGGAAAAAGAGAAAGCUAGCUGAGCGCCAGCAUGCAGCUUCCCGACUUUGAGUGCGAUGUGACCAGCCACCUCAUGUUCCUGCCACCGUGCCUUCCCUACCUUGACAGACUGCGCCCUGGAACUGUGAGCUCAAAUAAACCCUUCCUUCCUUAAGUUGCUUCCGGUGUUUUUUGUCACAGUCACCAGAGGGUCUGCAGAAGAGCCGAAGGAGGCCCUACACCCAGCCACCAGGUCUGCACUGCCUCAACGCCAGUGGCUGCCCAGCCUAGAUUCAUGAAGGCAC
rnacentral:lncRNA from 1 species